rnacentral:lncRNA from 1 species
UUUAAGUCUAAAAGUAAAAAGUCCAAACACAAGAAGAAGGAUAAAAGAAAGAAGAAGAGUUAUUCUGACAGUGAUGAUUCAGACGAGAGUAGCAGUGAAGAAAAUCUACCUACAGAUAAGGAAUUAUUAAACAAGUAAGGAAACAAAACCUUUUGUACAGUGUUCUCCCAAUAGCUUUUUAGCAUCCUAGUAAAUUCUUGGUAUAAGCAACAGAGAUAUUAAAAAAUUUGAAAGCACACAUAACUAAAUUUUAACUAUUAUCAACACAAACCUAGGGUGAUCUCGGUUAGAUCUCGGGUGUUAUGUUUAAGGUUGUCUCCAGGGUUGUUUUAACUAGCAUGAAAUGUGAUUUUUUUUUUCAAACCUUGCUUUUAUUUUCAGAUUGAGGAGUUUACCUAAAGGGAAACAUUCACUGUUGAGAUGAGGACAUGCUUAGUUGGAUUAAGAUCAUUGCUCAUCUGUGAUAGAAAAAGAUACAAACAAUUUUCAUGUCCAGUUUAUACAGGAUAUGUUGUCAUAGCAGACAUUAGCAAUUAUAAAAGUUUAUUUAUAUUUUCAAAUGGCUUCAAUGGUCUAGGAAAAUAAAACUCGCCAUAUUAAAAUACCAUGAUCAAAAUUUUGUACGCCUGAUGCUCCUUUCAUCUAAAUAAAAGACAAAAAAGGCCAAACAAAGUAAUGAAGUUGAAUAGAGCACUGAGGACCCACAAUUUCUAAAAGUUUUGCUAAUUAUAUUUAAAGUAAUCAAUUCCGGGGUAGAAAAUUCUUGAUAUUUCCAAAAAAAAUCAUAGUUUUUUUAAACAGUUAAUUUAUAAUUAUGGCCAUAUCAAUGACAGUUCAUGUCAAAACAGAAGUGCCGACUACUGGGCUGGUGAUACACUCAGGGGAAAACUCCGCCAGCAGUGGCAUCGACCCGGUGGUUGAAUAUAAACUCAUCAUAGAUAGCAGGAUUGAAAUUUUGUACCCCAUACAUACAUUUGGUGACAAGUGUUGUGUUCAAAAGAUUCAUUAGUGAAGUUGAAAGUUAAAAAGGCCUAAGAAAGUAGGUAAUCUAACUGGGUUAGAAAAUCCUUGGUAGUUUUCAAGUUCUUUUAUUUAGGUAACCUAGAAUAUAACUAUGGUGGAAAUCUGCAAUGUGUAAAAAAAA